GGCGGCGUGCUUAACACAUGCAAGUCGAGCGGAAAGGCCCUUCGGGGGUACUCGAGCGGCGAACGGGUGAGUAACACGUUAGCAACCUGCCCCUGACUCUGGGAUAAGCCUGGGAAACUGGGUCUAAUACCGGAUAUGCCCGUCUCCGGCAUCGGGUGACGGUGGAAAGAUUUUUUGGUCGGGGAUGGGCUCGCGGCCUAUCAGCUUGUUGGUGGGGUAGUGGCCUACCAAGGCGACGACGGGUAGCCGGCCUGAGAGGGCGACCGGCCACACUGGGACUGAGACACGGCCCAGACUCCUACGGGAGGCAGCAGUGGGGAAUAUUGCGCAAUGGGCGGAAGCCUGAGCCAGCGACGCCGCGUGGGGGAUGACGGCCUUCGGGUUGUAAACCUCUUUCAGCAGGGACGAAGUUGACGUGUACCUGCAGAAGAAGCGCCGGCUAACUACGUGCCAGCAGCCGCGGUAAUACGUAGGGCGCAAGCGUUGUCCGGAAUUAUUGGGCGUAAAGAGCUCGUAGGUGGCUGGUCGCGUCUGCCGUGAAAGCCCGCAGCUUAACUGCGGGUCUGCGGUGGAUACGGGCCGGCUAGAGGUAGGUAGGGGCAAGUGGAAUUCCUGGUGUAGCGGUGAAAUGCGCAGAUAUCAGGAGGAACACCGGUGGCGAAGGCGGCUUGCUGGGCCUUACCUGACGCUGAGGAGCGAAAGCGUGGGGAGCGAACAGGAUUAGAUACCCUGGUAGUCCACGCUGUAAACGUUGGGCGCUAGGUGUGGGGGUCUUCCACGAUCUCGUGCCGGAGCUAACGCAUUAAGCGCCCCGCCUGGGGAGUACGGCCGC
rnacentral:rRNA from 1 species